rnacentral:rRNA from 1 species
GAUGAACGCUGGCGGCGUGCUUAACACAUGCAAGUCGAACGAUGAAGCCCAGCUUGCUGGGUGGAUUAGUGGCGAACGGGUGAGUAACACGUGAGUAACCUGCCCUUAACUCUGGGAUAAGCCUGGGAAACUGGGUCUAAUACCGGAUAGGAGCGCCUACCGCAUGGUGGGUGUUGGAAAGAUUUAUCGGUUUUGGAUGGACUCGCGGCCUAUCAGCUUGUUUGUGAGGUAAUGGCUCACCAAGGCGACGACGGGUAGCCGGCCUGAGAGGGUGACCGGCCACACUGGGACUGAGACACGGCCCAGACUCCUACGGGAGGCAGCAGUGGGGAAUAUUGCACAAUGGGCGAAAGCCUGAUGCAGCGACGCCGCGUGAGGGAUGACGGCCUUCGGGUUGUAAACCUCUUUCAGUAGGGAAGAAGCGAAAGUGACGGUACCUGCAGAAGAAGCACCGGCUAACUACGUG